GAACUGAAGAGUUUGAUCAUGGCUCAGAUUGAACGCUGGCGGCAGGCCUAACACAUGCAAGUCGAGCGGAUGAUGGGAGCUUGCUCCCGGAUUCAGCGGCGGACGGGUGAGUAAUGCCUAGGAAUCUGCCUGGUAGUGGGGGGCAACGUUUCGAAAGGAACGCUAAUACCGCAUACGUCCUACGGGAGAAAGCAGGGGACCUUCGGGCCUUGCGCUAUCAGAUGAGCCUAGGUCGGAUUAG
rnacentral:rRNA from 1 species